UACAGAGGGUGCGAGCGUUAAUCGGAAUUACUGGGCGUAAAGCGCACGUAGGCGGCUUGGUAUGUCGGGUGUGAAAUCCCCGGGCUCAACCUGGGAACUGCAUCCGAAACUGCCUUGCUAGAGUAUGGGAGAGGGAAGUGGAAUUUCCGGUGUAGCGGUGAAAUGCGUAGAUAUCUGGAGGAAUACCGGUGGCGAAGGCGGCAUCCUGGACCGGCAUUGACGCUGAGGAGCGAAAGCUAGGGGAGCAAACGGG
rnacentral:rRNA from 1 species